rnacentral:rRNA from 1 species
AUCCUGGCUCAGAGUGAACGCUGGCGGUAGGCCUAACACAUGCAAGUCGAACGGCAGCACAGGAGAGCUUGCUCUCUGGGUGGCGAGUGGCGGACGGGUGAGGAAUACAUCGGAAUCUACUCUGUCGUGGGGGAUAACGUAGGGAAACUUACGCUAAUACCGCAUACGACCUACGGGUGAAAGCAGGGGAUCUUCGGACCUUGCGCGAUUGAAUGAGCCGAUGUCGGAUUAGCUAGUUGGCGGGGUAAAGGCCCACCAAGGCGACGAUCCGUAGCUGGUCUGAGAGGAUGAUCAGCCACACUGGAACUGAGACACGGUCCAGACUCCUACGGGAGGCAGCAGUGGGGAAUAUUGGACAAUGGGCGCAAGCCUGAUCCAGCCAUACCGCGUGGGUGAAGAAGGCCUUCGGGUUGUAAAGCCCUUUUGUUGGGAAAGAAAUCCAGCUGGCUAAUACCCGGUUGGGAUGACGGUACCCAAAGAAUAAGCACCGGCUAACUUCGUGCCAGCAGCCGCGGUAAUACGAAGGGUGCAAGCGUUACUCGGAAUUACUGGGCGUAAAGCGUGCGUAGGUGGUCGUUUAAGUCCGUUGUGAAACCCCUGGGCUCAACCUGGGAACUGCAGUGGAUACUGGGCGACUAGAGUGUGGUAGAGGGUAGCGGAUUCCUGGGUGU